UUAAUUGGCAGUUUGUGGCUAUUUCUAAUCAGGAAUGCGUUCUUCUAUGCAAAUGCUGCAGCGUGAUGAAGGACAUGCUCUGUCUUCUGGCAGGAAAAAGGAUCUUCCCUGUCAGUGGAAACCAAAGUUGCAUGGGAUGAGUUCUGCAAGAGCUCAUGUGCUCCUGGAUCCCAGCUUGCACCAUCUUGUCACAUUUUCAGCUGUACUAUUUUGGAAGGCUUUGAAGUCCUAUUUGCUGAAGUCACUUGGGCAACCAAAGUCCCAGUGACUUUCAGGCAGAUGGGAACUCCUGGAUUCCCCUUCAUCUAGAGAUUCCUGAGUACUGCAUCUGAGGUCAAAUGUUUUUGAGGUGAUGUGCUGUGCAGCAGUGUGGCUGUCACCCAGCCUUGAAAGGACCAGCGGUGCCCCAGAUCUCACUGGUGGAGGUCAUACUUAAAUCUUGCAGACCCAGCUGCCUGUCUGUGCAAGUCCUACAGAAAUGGCACAGGAGCUCAGCAAGUCCAUGGCCUCUCGGGAGCCUCCCAGGAACCUUCCUGUACAGGAGACAUCCAAAAGAUCAGCAGGUCCUUAUCAGGUCUGAUUAAUGACCAUUUCACAGCAGAGGAAUUAUCUCAGCUGUAACUCAAGGCAGCAGGGAACAUCAACACUGUCCUUAGAUCUCUUGGGGUCUCGUACAACAUUUCUACUUCAAAAGAAAAGAAUGGAAAACUCCACAAGUGAAAGACUUAAAGAUACAAGAUUCUACUGCAGAAGGCACAGACAGCACUCCAAAUCUGAAAAAAACCUCUUUCUAGAACCAGAAGAUUGUCUGGAGAUGGGUGGACCAGAGCUAUGUGCUGUUUCUUGAAGGACACUGGCCCAAAGAUCAAAGGACGCAAGAAGCACUAAGGGCUCCCAGAAAGGCCUAUGGUGGAGUUAUGAGCAGCACCAAUGGAGCCUUUCACAAGAAUGGGAGCUGGUUCUGAGCUUCCCAGGGGACUCCAUUGGGAGCCAUGGCCCAACAGUACCACCUGCCUCAGGCAAGGACCUGCCUUCUGCCUCUCUUACAUGAGCUUACCUCUGCACAGAAGCAGCACAGAAGUCUGGAGAAAAGAAAAAUGGUGCUGGAGGCUGCCAAGAAGUAUGGGAACAAGUCAAUGAUGAGUGAGGAAGGUCGAAGGAAAUUAAUUUAUGAAGCUGUUGUCCUGAUUUCUCUAUGCUUGAACCCGGCUAAGAACAGGACUUCUUUGCAAAAAUACAUCUACUCUCAGCCUCUUACCCCAAAUGCUGGAGCAGCAGAUCUGGGGUAGCAGCUAUGAGCCCUGACACCUUGAUCCCAGCAGCAAACUUUGUG